rnacentral:rRNA from 1 species
CAGUAGCCGCGGUAAUACGUAGGUCCCGAGCGUUGUCCGGAUUUAUUGGGCGUAAAGCGAGCGCAGGCGGUUAGAUAAGUCUGAAGUUAAAGGCUGUGGCUUAACCAUAGUACGCUUUGGAAACUGUUUAACUUGAGUGCAAGAGGGGAGAGUGGAAUUCCAUGUGUAGCGGUGAAAUGCGUAGAUAUAUGGAGGAACACCGGUGGCGAAAGCGGCUCUCUGGCUUGUAACUGACGCUGAGGCGCGAAAGCCAGGGGAGCGAACGGGAUUAGAUACCCCCGUAGUCCCUGUCUCUUAUACA